UACGGGGGGGGCAAGCGUUGUUCGGAAUUACUGGGCGUAAAGGGCUCGUAGGCGGCCAACUAAGUCAAACGUGAAAUCCCUCGGCUUAACCGGGGAACUGCGUCUGAUACUGGAUGGCUUGAGUUUGGGAGAGGGAUGCGGAAUUCCAGGUGUAGCGGUGAAAUGCGUAGAUAUCUGCAGGAACACCCGUGGCGAAAGCGGCGCGCUGGACCACUACUGACGCUGAGGAACGAAAGCUAGGGGAGCAAACAGG
rnacentral:rRNA from 1 species